rnacentral:rRNA from 1 species
UACGAGAGGGGCAAGCGUUACCCACCAUGACUAGGCGUAAAGAGUCUGUAGACGGUAAAGUAAGUUAUUUGUUAAAUUUUUAAGCCUAACUUAAACUCAGCUUAUAAUACUGCUUUACUUGAGUUUUAUGCAAAAAAACAUAACUUUAUAUGAAAGGAUAAAAUCUAAAUAUAUAUAAGGGAGUAUCAGUAGCGAAGGCGGUUUUUUAGCAAAAACUGACGUUGAGAGACGAAAGUGUGGGGAGCAAACAGG